GGAUCUGAAGGCAAUCUGGCUGCGACAUCUAUCACCCCAUUGAUCGCCAGGGUUGAUUUGGCUGACCUGGCUGGCUAGGUGGGUGUGCCCUUCCUCCUUCAUUGCUCCAUGUGCAUCCCUCCUGAAGCUGGGCACUCACUCAGUCAAUGAGGAUGAUUAUCCCCAAUAGAAGAAGACUGUUCUCUGGUCAAGGGUAUGAGAUUAGCUGCACUCCCUUGCUAGAACCUCCAAACAAGCUCUCAAAAGUUGCUUCAUACCCAUUUGUAAUUCCUUUCAACUAUUGACCUGCCUUUUAUUACUGUAGGUUUGUUUGUA
rnacentral:sRNA from 1 species